GAUGAACGCUGGCGGCGUGCCUAAUACAUGCAAGUCGAGCGAACAGACGAGGAGCUUGCUCCUCUGACGUUAGCGGCGGACGGGUGAGUAACACGUGGAUAACCUACCUAUAAGACUGGUAUAACUUCGGGAAACCGGAGCUAAUACCGGAUAAUAUAUUGAACCGCAUGGUUCAAUAGUGAAAGACGGUGUUGCUGUCACUUAUAGAUGGAUCCGCGCCGUAUUAGCUAGUUGUUAAGGUAACGGCUUACCAAGGCAACGAUGCGUAGCCGACCUGAGAGGGUGAUCGGCGACACUGGAACUGAGACACGGUCCAGACUCCUACGGGAGGCAGCAGUCGGGAAUCUGCCGCAAUGGGCGAAAGCAUGACGGAGCAACGCCGCGUGAGUGAUGAAGGUCUUCGGAUCGUAAAAAUCUGUUAUUAGGGAAGAACAAAUGUGUAAGUAACUAUGCACGUCUUGACGGUACCUAAUCAGAAAGCCACGGCUAACUACGUG
rnacentral:rRNA from 1 species